rnacentral:other from 1 species
CGUCUCCUGCAGUGUUCGACACCGACCUGGAAACCUCCCGACCCUAAAUUUCUACCUCGGGGUUGCUGUCUGUCGACUGUAUGUGUGCACAACCGUUUCGGCGGUAAGCCUGGUACGGUCACGGCUAACCCCACCUGUUGCUCCGGUUCGAGAGCGAAGGUUUGUGACGGCACAGGCGGGAGGCGC